rnacentral:tRNA from 1 species
GCCGGGGUGGCGGAACUGGUAGACGCGCUGGUCUCAAACACCAGUGGGAGCAAUCCCGUGUCGGUUCGAUCCCGACCCUCGGCACAA